rnacentral:rRNA from 1 species
CCUACGGGCGGCAGCAGUGAGGAAUAUUGGUCAAUGGGCGCUAGCCUGAACCAGCCAAGUAGCGUGAAGGAUGACUGCCCUAUGGGUUGUAAACUUCUUUUGUAUGGGAAUAAAGUGCAGUAUGUAUACUGCUUUGCAUGUACCUUAUGAAUAAGGAUCGGCUAACUCCGUGCCAGCAGCCGCGGUAAUACGGAGGAUCCGAGCGUUAUCCGGAUUUAUUGGGUUUAAAGGGAGCGUAGGCGGGUUGUUAAGUCAGUUGUGAAAUUUUGGGGCUCAACCGUAAAAUUGCAGGUGAUACUGGCAGCCUUGAGUACAGGAGAGGUAGGCGGAAUGCGUGGUGUAGCGGUGAAAUGCUUAGAUAUCACGAAGAACUCCGAUUGCGAAGGCAGCCUGCCGGACUGUAACUGACGCUGAUGCUCGAAAGUGUGGGUAUCAAACAGGAUUAGAUACCCGAGUAGUC